rnacentral:rRNA from 1 species
AUUGAACGCUGGCGGCAGGCCUAACACAUGCAAGUCGAACGAGUGGCGGACGGGUGAGUAAUGUCUGGGAAACUGCCUGAUGUAGGGGGAUAACUACUGUAAACGGUCGCUAAUCCCGCAUCCCAUCAAAUGUUCCCAGAUGGGCUUAGCUUGUUGGUGGGGUAACGGCUCGCCAAGGCGACGAUCCCUAGCUGGUCUGAGAGGAUGACCAUCCACAAGGGAAAUGAAACACGGUCAAGACUACUACGGGAGGCAGCAGUGGGGAAUAGGGCACAAUGGGCGAAAGCCUGAUGCAGCCAUGCCGGGUGUAUGAAGAAGGCCUUCGGGUUGUAAAGUACUUUCAGCGAGGAGGCGUUACCCGCAGAAGAAGCACCGGCUAACUCCGUGCCAGCAGCCGCGGUAAUUC